rnacentral:rRNA from 1 species
UACGAAGGGGGCUAGCGUUGUUCGGAAUUACUGGGCGUAAAGCGCACGUAGGCGGAUAUUUAAGUCGGGGGUGAAAUCCCGGGGCUCAACCCCGGAACUGCCUUUGAUACUGGGUACCUCGAGUCCGAGAGAGGUGAGUGGAAUUCCGAGUGUAGAGGUGAAAUUCGUAGAUAUUCGGAGGAACACCAGUGGCGAAGGCGGCUCACUGGCUCGGUACUGACGCUGAGGUGCGAAAGCGUGGGGAGCAAACAGG